ensembl:misc_RNA Metazoa_SRP Metazoan signal recognition particle RNA
GCCAGGGGUGGUGGCGCACACCUGUAAUCCCAGCUGCAAAGGAGGCUGAGGCAGGAGAAUCACUUGAACCCAGGAGAUGGAGGUUGCAGGGAGCCAAGUUUGUGCUACUGCACUCCAGCCUGGGUGACAGAGUGAGAGUCUGCCUUAA